GGCGCCUCACGCGAAAGCUGGGGGCCGGGGCAGCGCCCCUCAGCUCGGGCUUCGCGACCGGCCCGGGAGCCGGGGGUUACAGGAGGAGGGAGGCGCGACGCCCGGCUUGGAGGGGUCGCCGAGCUGGGUAGGAGCGCAAGGCCCACCGCGGACCGCCCGCACGAGCGGAUGGACCGCGGAGCGCCCUGGGCGAGGCGUUCGGUGUGGAUGGGGUAGGAGCGACGGGCCUGGCGCUGAGGAGCUACGCCGAGGCCGCUACAUCCUCGACCCUUGCCCUAGACGGAGCGGAGUCCUCAUGGGAUAAAUGGGGCGCGCACAGGCGUUUAAGGCCCCUGCUCCUUCUCUAGAGCCGAGAUCUGAGCUCAGCACAUAGAUGCUACUCAGGAACCUUUCCUAAAAUGUUAGAAGAGGGAUAGAAAAACAUUUGCAACUUUUGUUUCACUUGGUGAACGAGUCAGGAACUGUUUGUGCACAAUAAUCCAACAUCAGUUUAAGAUUUUUGGCUGUGUUUUCUCAAGAGCAAGAAAAGAUUUUGCUUCCAAUUCCUGCACAUUAUUUUUUUAUUGGUUGGAUUUCCUAUUCAGCACCACUUUACUUUCAUUAUUUUGGUUAUUAAUCUGUUCAUUUUGGAAGAUAUAAUUGCAUCAUCUCCAUAACCAGGAGAAUUGCUGUCUGCUCCUCAGCUCUGUAUUAUUAAUGAAGAUCUUUGUCUGUUGGGUUUCCUUAGUACAGAGUUCUGGAAAGAUGGAUAUUAGGAAAGUGAGAAGACAAAGAAAAAUUGCGUGGAAGAUACUAUUGCUGAGUGGGAAGAAAUGAGAUCAGUGGAUAGCUAGCGUAGUCCAUUGCUGUCAUCAUUACCAUCGUCGUCAUCAUCAGAAGCAUGGUCUAACCACACCUAGAGCUUCUGUUGAACUGGAAUUAAAAUCACUUGAAUUGCUCCCAUUCUUUAUCUCAACUGGUUCUUCAUUAUCUCAUUUUAUCGAAGAUUACUGUCUUCAGUGAAAGUAUAUGAUACAUUUGCUAUAUAACAUUUUAAUGUUUCUUGUUUGGUGCCUGAAGAAAUUUUGCUAUGUGAAAAGUCACUAUCACCUUUAUCUGUAGCAUUCUCCUCCAAGAGCGGUCAAAUAAGAAAACCAAUUACAGUAAUUUUCUACCACACAAUAGAGGUGAGAGUUCCACCAAUCUGAAACUAAGUUAGCUAUUCCAAACAACAGGAAUGCAUUAUUGUAGAGUAAAUAAAAAGUGAUUGAA